rnacentral:sRNA from 1 species
CAACAAACGAAAGGAGGUGAUCCAGUGUCUCACUCUCAUUCUCGGACGGCCGCCGGGACCUGGGUCAUCACCGCCGCAGCGCUGGCGUGAGCUGACCCGGACUGACGGUCCUCGGCACCGACCGAGGUUUGACGAGGGGAAGGGCUGUCCGAGAGGGCAGCCCU